GGCCACUGCUAUGGGGGUCCGACUAAGCCAUGCGAGUCAUGGGGCGCGCUCUGCGCGCACCGGCGGACGGCUCAGUAACACGUCGGUAACCUACCCUCGGGAGGGGGAUAACCCCGGGAAACUGGGGCUAAUCCCCCAUAGGCCUGAGGUACUGGAAGGUCCUCAGGCCGAAAGGGGCAUCUGCCCGCCCGAGGAUGGGCCGGCGGCCGAUUAGGUAGUUGGUGGGGUAACGGCCCACCAAGCCGAAGAUCGGUACGGGCCAUGAGAGUGGGAGCCCGGAGAUGGACACUGAGACACGGGUCCAGGCCCUACGGGGCGCAGCAGGCGCGAAACCUCCGCAAUGCGGGCAACCGCGACGGGGGGACCCCCAGUGCCGUGGCAUAGCCACGGCUUUUCCGGAGUGUAAAAAGCUCCGGGAAUAAGGGCUGGGCAAGGCCGGUGGCAGCCGCCGCGGUAAUACCGGCGGCCCGAGUGGUGGCCGCUAUUAUUGGGCCUAAAGCGUCCGUAGCCGGGCCCGUAAGUCCCUGGCGAAAUCCCACGGCUCAACCGUGGGGCUUGCUGGGGAUACUGCGGGCCUUGGGACCGGGAGAGGCCGGGGGUACCCCUGGGGUAGGGGUGAAAUCCUAUAAUCCCAGGGGGACCGCCAGUGGCGAAGGCGCCCGGCUGGAACGGGUCCGACGGUGAGGGACGAAGGCCAGGGGAGCGAACCGGAUUAGAUACCCGGGUAGUCCUGGCUGUAAAGGAUGCGGGCUAGGUGUCGGGCGAGCUUCGAGCUCGCCCGGUGCCGGAGGGAAGCCGUUAAGCCCGCCGCCUGGGGAGUACGGCCGCAAGGCUG
rnacentral:rRNA from 1 species